CCUACGGGGAGCAGCAGUGAGGAAUAUUGGUCAAUGGACGCAAGUCUGAACCAGCCAUGCCGCGUGCAGGAAGACGGCUCUAUGAGUUGUAAACUGCUUUUGUACGAGGGUAAACGCAGAUACGCGUAUCUGUCUGAAAGUAUCGUACGAAUAAGGAUCGGCUAACUCCGUGCCAGCAGCCGCGGUAAUACGGAGGAUUCAAGCGUUAUCCGGCUUUAUUGGGUUUAAAGGGUGCGUAGGCGGUCGGAUAAGUUAGAGGUGAAAUCCCGAGGCUCAACUUCGGAAUUGCCUCUGAUACUGGUCGGCGAGAGAGUAGUUGCGGUAGGCGGAAUGUAUGGUGUAGCGGUGAAAUGCUUAGAGAUCAUACAGAACACCGAUUGCGAAGGCAGCUUACCAAGCUACUUCUGACGUUGAGGCACGAAAGCGUGGGGAGCAAACAGGAUUAGAUACCCGGGUAGUC
rnacentral:rRNA from 1 species